AGUAAUUUGUUAAAAAAGUCUGUGAGUGUUAUGUGGGGAUUUUAUAGGAUGGGAGUUUUAGAAUAAUUGAAGUUAGUUAGAAACUGGACAAUGGUUAAUGUGUGUAUGCCUUAUUUUUGCGUGGAUCUUGUUAGUGAUCGAAUGCUGCCAGGAUGACUUCUGAACUGUUUUUUGUAUACACACAUGGCUUGGUUCUUUUCUCUUUACUGCAGAGUUCUGAUUGAUUGUAUAUGUGACUGAAGUAUGCUGAUUACGUCUUUGCGUGUGUUGCUGCAGAUCUGAACCUCUUUCCUGAUCCCAAUGUCUCAAAUUACAGAAGGGUUUUGGUGUGAUGAUGAUUCGUGUCGACCCGCACUUCUUUUGAUUUUGGCUGGCACUGCAGGCGAUCAGAUUGGAUUCGUGUACCUGAUUUUUAGGCUUUUGAGAUGGAUUCCAUAGGCUGAAAGUUGUCUGAACAGGGCUGUUGGUUCCUUGUCCUUUGCGAGAACCAGUUUGUGGGAUUGAUCUAGCAGCGGACUUUUCGAGCAUAUGACGGUUUUGGGCAAGGCCUCCUGAUGUAUGAAGUCAUUAGAAACAUGGCAUGGUAUAGAUCUGGUGCAAGAUUAAGGCGGAUUAAAUGGUGAAGUGCAAGGUCAUUUGGUCACAAAAGGAGUGAAGAGGGUUUAUUUUGAUGUUAUAGUGUUGAUGUUGCAGAAGCUGGUUAAAGUUGUAGUUAUAAUAAUAGGCUCAUUAUUUUUGUACCUUUUCCAAUGGUGUAAUAUAACAUGGUGUGUUGAGAUGGAAGCAUUGAAAUUGUAAUGGUUUAUGAAUAUUUCGUGUAAUUUUGAAAUGAUGUAAUGAAUGGACUUCCUCUUCCAUUU